rnacentral:rRNA from 1 species
CCUACGGGUGGCAGCAGUGGGGAAUAUUGGACAAUGGGCGAAAGCCUGAUCCAGCCAUGCCGCGUGUGUGAAGAAGGCCUUCGGGUUGUAAAGCACUUUCAGUGGGGAAGAAAGCCUUGGGGCUAAUACCCUCGAGGAAGGACAUCACCCACAGAAGAAGCACCGGCUAACUCCGUGCCAGCAGCCGCGGUAAUACGGAGGGUGCGAGCGUUAAUCGGAAUUACUGGGCGUAAAGCGCGCGUAGGCGGUCUGAUAAGCCGGUUGUGAAAGCCCCGGGCUCAACCUGGGAACGGCAUCCGGAACUGUCAGGCUAGAGUGCAGGAGAGGAAGGUAGAAUUCCCGGUGUAGCGGUGAAAUGCGUAGAGAUCGAGAGGAAUACCAGUGGCGAAGGCGGCCUUCUGGACUGACACUGACGCUGAGGUGCGAAAGCGUGGGUAGCAAACAGGAUUAGAUACCCCGGUAGUC